AACGAAAACCACACAAGCUAAGCAGCCAUGGUUAUAUGUGCCAGGCAAUGUUUUUAGCUAGCAUGAACUGCCAAGAUGAGCACUUCAGUAAAAUCUUUAUCCAGCGAGUACAGAAUGGCUAAGAAAUAAUCUGUGCAGAACUACUAUCUCUAAACUUUUACACUAGAUUAUAUUACCGUCUAUUGGAGGAUUCGAAAAUUGGGCUCAAACCUUAGACAUUAGAAUCGCAUAAGUAGGCAGCCUCAGAUAAUUAAGCCAUUGGAACAACAGACUAUCUUUACAUGGU
rnacentral:misc_RNA from 1 species